rnacentral:rRNA from 1 species
AGUGAACGCUGGCGGUAGGCCUAACACAUGCAAGUCGAACGGCAGCACAGUAAGAGCUUGCGCUGACGGGUGGCGAGUGGCGGACGGGGGAGGAAUACAUCGGAAUCUACUUUUUCGUGGGGGAUAACGGAGGGAAACUUACGCUAAUACCGCAUACGACCUACGGGGGAAAGCAGGGGAUCUUCGGACCUUGCGCGAUUGAAUGAGCCGAUGUCGGGUUAGCUAGGUGGCGGGGUAAAGGCCCACCAAGGCGACGAUGCGUAGCUGGUCUGAGAGGAUGAUCAGCCACACUGGAACUGAGACACGGUCCAGACUCCUACGGGAGGCAGCAGUGGGGAAUAUUGGACAAUGGGCGCAAGCCUGAUCCAGCCAUACCGCGUGGGUGAAGAAGGCCUUCGGGUUGUAAAGCCCUUUUGUUGGGAAAGAAAAGCAGCAGGUUAAUCCCCCGCUGUUCUGACGGUACCCAAAGAAUAAGCACCGGCUAACUUCGUG